CUACGGAAGGUCCGGGCGUUAUCCGGAUUUAUUGGGUUUAAAGGGAGCGCAGGCGGAGAUGCAAGCGUGACGUCAAAUUUCGGGGCUCAACCCCGUCUCGCGUCGCGAACUGCGUCCCUUGGUUGCGGGAAGGGGAGGCGGAACUCGUGGUGUAGCGGUGAAAUGCAUAGACAUCACGAAGAACUCCGAUCGCGAAGGCAGCCUUCCGGCCCGUCAACGACGCUCAUGCUCGAAGGUGCGGGUAUCAAACAGGAUUAGAUACCCUGGUAGUCCGCACAGUAAACGAUGGACACCCGCGGUUUGGCCUGUAUGGCUGAGCCGCCAAGCGAAAGCGUUAAGUGUCCCACCUGGGGAGUACGCCGGCAACGGUGAAACUCAAAUGAAUUGACGGGG
rnacentral:rRNA from 1 species